GCUGAUUUGCGCGCAAUUAAUAUCUACGCGUGUGAUAUGAUAUAAUACGCCCAAAUGCAUGUUUUAUCACAUGAGUGCUUUAUGGCACUAAUGUGUCGCCAUAGUUCAGCUGCUGCUCAAUAACUCUCACGGUCCUCUGCUUGCGAUCAUUGUGAUUCACCAUAUAUUGAUCCAUUUAUUCAAAAGAUCCAAAGACAAAGGUGCAUUACGGUAUCAUUUUAUAUUAUUGUUAAUAGUCUAACAUUUCAGCGUUGUUAUUAAUUUUCAUUUGCUUGUGUAGCUACCUAUGUAUGACAGUUAACAAUGUUGGUGUAUUACAAUUAUUUAUGUGUGUAGGCCACUCCAACUUCGUUGCUGGUUGAAAUGUAACCAUUGAUUGCAUUUUUCAUAAAUAGUUAGUUGGAGCUUGCAUAACGGAGCACGAGGCCUAGUUUAAUAGUGCAUUACUUUUUGAACAGCAUAUCCGAUCAAUGACCUCUGUAAUUUUUGUACAUUUAAAUGUAUGCCCAUCAAUAACUGAGUUUAGCUUUAUCUAUUAUUGCUUUCAUUUUCUUCCCUUCUUUUCUUAAUGUUAUGUGUAUUUUGUUUUUAAGAUUAAUCAAGAGAAACUCAAACAUAUCUUAUGGUCUCGUAUUUAUGUAAAUGUUUCAUGUAUUUAUAUGUUUUUUACAUGUUGUGACUGUCUGAGUUUGUGAUGUGGGUCUAUGGUCUUGUAGUUAUGUACAUGAUUCAUGUAUUUAUGUGUUUUUUUCAUGUUGUGACUGUCUGAGUUUGUGAUGCGAGUCUUUGUUCUAUGUUCCCACUCUUGGCCUGCACCUUGACGUGAAACUGGAAACUUCAGAGUAUAUUUUAUCUUAAGUUAGAAAAUCUCUCAGAUCCCAGUCCAUCAUGCUCCUGUACUUGUCUGCCGUGCCACCAUCAUGCCUCAUGCAUCACCUCUCAGCACCCUGCCCAGCUGCAUCUUAUUCCGUUACUCCAGUUCUUUGCAGCUCUUUCACAUAAGUGACACAUGCUCCACCCAAGUGUUUUUAAUAUUUUAUUAAUUAUGCUUAAGGUGUGCUUAAAGGCAUAUUGUACGAUUUCCAGUGAUAUGCCCUUUUUAAUAUGUUGUUGAAAUUGGUUUUUACAUCCUGACAGCAAUUAAUAACUUAUUGGCAAUGAAAAAGAAGCGAAAAAAAUAAUAAUUCUGUAUCGGCUAUAAACCUGUUAAAAUGCUUACCAAUUGGAGACACUGUGCCCGAAUCUAAAGAACCAAUCACAAGCCUGCGCGUUCUCUCCCCUCUGUGUACGAGCCUGAGCCGGCCUGAGCGCGUUCACGGAGGGCAAAGAAAGCGUUGUUGUCAUAGUAGUUCAUGACAGUGGAUUAGACCUAGUGAGCAGUGCUUAAUUUGUCAAGUGGGAGCUCCCGGAGCGCUGAGGACGAGUAGAAAAA
ensembl:lncRNA